AGUGAACGCUGGCGGUAGGCCUAACACAUGCAAGUCGAACGGCAGCACAGUAAGCGCUUGCUCUUACGGGUGGCGAGUGGCGGACGGGUGAGGAAUACAUCGGAAUCUACUUUUUCGUGGGGGAUAACGUAGGGAAACUUACGCUAAUACCGCAUACGAUCUACGGGUGAAAGCAGGGGAUCUUCGGACCUUGCGCGAUUGAAUGAGCCGAUGUCGGAUUAGCUAGUUGGCGAGGUAAAGGCCCACCAAGGCGACGAUCCGUAGCUGGUCUGAGAGGAUGAUCAGCCACACUGGAACUGAGACACGGUCCAGACUCCUACGGGAGGCAGCAGUAGGGAAUAUUGGACAAUGGGCGCAAGCCUGACCCAGCCAUACCGCGUGAGUGAAGAAGGCCUUCGGGUUGUAAAGCCCUGUUAUUAGGAAAGAAAAGCAGCAUAUUAAUACCCCGAUGUUCUGACGGUACCCAAAGAAUAAGCACCGGCUAACUUCGUG
rnacentral:rRNA from 1 species